GAUGAAGGAACGCAGCAAAAUGCGAUAAGUAAUGUGAAUUGCAGAAUUCAGUGAAUCAUCGAAUCUUUGAACGCACAUUGCGCCCGCCAGUAUUCUGGCGGGCAUGCCUGUUCGAGCGUCAUUUCAACCCUCAAGCACAGCUUGGUGUUGGGACUCGCGUUAAUUCGCGUUCCCCAAAUUGAUUGGCGGUCACGUCGAGCUUCCAUAGCGUAGUAGUAAAACCCUCGUUACUGGUAAUCGUCGCGGCCACGCCGUUAAACCCCAACUUCUGAAUGUUGACCUCGGAUCAGGUAGGAAUACCCGCUGAACUUAAGCAUAUCAAUAAGCGGAGGA
rnacentral:misc_RNA from 1 species